UGUCACUCCUGGAAGCUUAGUCAAGAACUGGCAGAAAGAGUUUCAGAAGUGGUUAGGUCAUGAGAGACUGAAAGUGUAUGCAGCAUCAACUGACAACAGACCAGAAGAGUUUGUCAAGUCUCCAGUGUAUCCAGUGCUGUUAAUUAGUUAUGAAUUAUUCAUAAAGUGUUACGGGAGUUUGGCUAAAGUUAACUUUGAUAUGAUAGUCUGUGAUGAAGGACACAGACUCAAGAACACCAACAUAAAGACAUUCAGUUUAUUAUAAAAGUUACCAACUUCAAGGAGGAUAGUGCUUAGUGGCACUCCAGUACAAAAUGAUUUGAUGGAGUUUUAUGCUAUAACAGAGUUUUGUAAUCCUGGAUUAUUAGGAUCACAGUCAGCUUAUAGGAAGGUUUAUGAAGAGUCAAUUGUAGCAUCAAGACAAGUAGAGGCCACAGAGACAGAACAGGAGAUAGGACAAAGAAGAGCACAGGAAUUGAUGAGGCUUAUUAGUAUGUUUUAUUUAAGAAGAACACAAGAAAUAAAUAAGAAAUAUUUACCCCCGAAAGUCUCAGUUGUAUGAAGGUAUAAAGAGGUAUUAUCCUGAAGACUAUGACCCCACUGAAUGUAAGAUGGAAUAUUCUGGCAAACUCUGGGUCCUUGCAGCAAUGCUAGAGUACCUCCACUCAACCACUGGAGAGAAAGUACUCAGACUUUAGAUAUUUUGGAGAGCAUGUGUAAGCUGUUCAGUUAUUCCUUCCUGAGGCUUGAUGGCCAGACACCGUCUAAUAAGAGACAGAGCAUAGUGGAAAGAUUUAAUAAUAAGCAACUGAAAGACUGUAAGUUGAAAUGUAACUUAAUUAAUAAUUAUAAGAAAAAAUUAUUAUUGGGCAAAGCCCUUGCUUACAGGAAUUUCUGUCUUGUAUGUACGUACAUUUGGGUGUGACUGGGAGGUGUGGUCAGGAGGUGGAGUCCCUCAAUG
rnacentral:lncRNA from 1 species